GGGGAAUUUUCCGCAAUGGGCGAAAGCCUGACGGAGCAAUACCGCGUGAGGGAGGAAGGCUCUUGGGUUGUAAACCUCUUUUCUCAGGGAAUAAGAACUGAAGGUACCUGAGGAAUCAGCAUCGGCUAACUCCGUGCCAGCAGCCGCGGUAAUACGGAGGAUGCAAGCGUUAUCCGGAAUGAUUGGGCGUAAAGCGUCCGCAGGUGGUUUAUCAAGUCUGCUGUCAAAGAGUUUGGCUCAACCAAAUAAAGGCAGUGGAAACUGACAGACUGGAGUGCGGUAAGGGCAGAGGGAAUUCCUGGUGUAGCGGUGAAAUGCGUAGAGAUCAGGAAGAACACCGGUGGCGAAAGCGCUCUGCUGGGCCGUAACUGACACUGAGGGACGAAAGCUAGGGGAGCGAAUGGGAUUAGAUACCCCANUAGUCA
rnacentral:rRNA from 1 species